ACACAAAGUUCCCAAAUUUCCCAAAAUUGUAACCCCAAUUCGUCCCUUCUAAAAUCCCAAAAUUCCCAAAAUAGUAAACCCUAAUUCCUCCCUCCUGAAAUCGAGUUGUUCCCUUUCUUUCCUCCCUCCCUCCUGAAAUCGAGCAGCUCAAUUUCCCCUCUCUGAUCAUUCUCUUCCUCAGAAUCUUUCGCCCCCUCAAAUUCCUUUCCUGUGUCUGUAUCUUGUUGAUUCGAAUGAACUACGACUACAGAACCAGUGCGCAGCAUCCGUCAUACCGGCCGUCGCCGGUGUACGGAAACUCCUUCACGCCAAACGGCCAAGGCGCCUCGGCGGGCCGUCCCACUCCUUCAAGCCAAACGGCUCCUCUUCCUCCUCUCUCUUCCUCCUCUAUUGUCUCCCCAAGUGGCAGAUAUUCCACGAAGCAGUUUCCAGUUUAAUUUCGAUUUUGAGAGAAAAAUUCUCGCCGAAGCAGAGAAGGAAAGCCAGAACUGGAGCAAGAUCGCACCUGAAAAUGUUCCAUCAAGAGCUUCACGAUCAUGUCCUUCCCCGGUAUGUAAUUCUUCCCAAAGAAGUUUGCUUUUUUACUGUUGCCUUGGGAGGUCACAUAUUCAAUUUACUGAAUGAGACUCGAUACCUCUUAUUUAAACAUAAUGAAAUCAGUGGGAGAAUGAUAGUAUGGUGUAUGAACAGCUUCUACUAUUGUUCCUGAGAAAAUCCUUGAUCAAAGUGUGUUAUAAGUGAACUGAUAUACAUUAUACACAUGAAAGAUGUUAUACUUGGUAAGCAUUUAUUGUAUCUUGAUUGUGAUGCAUGUGGUCUUAUCGCUUGUUUAUCCGUA